GCGAGGAUGGCGAAAUUGGUAGACGCACCAGGUUUAGGUCCUGACGCUCGCAAGAGUGUGGGGGUUCGAGUCCCCCUCCUCGCA
rnacentral:tRNA from 1 species